AGGUCCAAGACAACACAUUUUGUAGGCUGCAGAAAAUGAACUUCCAGAGAAAAGAAAGACAAAGAAAUUUGAUACCAUCCACCAAGCACAGAUGCUGCAGUGAUGGGUUUUGGCUGGAAGAAGUCAUCAUGGUGGUCUGAGCAAGAUGGAGAACAGAAGGAAAGAAGACGACGCCGACAGUAAAAGACGUGAAUUAUGCGUGGAUGCAGAGGAUUACGACAGAUUCGGAGGACUACUGCGGAUGAACUGGCUUACUGUGAUCUGUCCCUUAGUGCAGG